rnacentral:rRNA from 1 species
UGAGGAAUAUUGGACAAUGGGCGCAAGCCUGAUCCAGCCAUGCCGCGUGCAGGAAGAAGCAUCUAUGGUGUGUAAACUGCUUUUGUACGGGAAGAAACACUCCUUCGUGAAGGAGCUUGACGGCACCGUAAGAAUAAGGAUCGGCUAACUCCGUGCCAGCAGCCGCGGUAAUACGGAGGAUCCAAGCGUUAUCCGGAAUCAUUGGGUUUAAAGGGUCCGUAGGCGGUUUAGUAAGUCAGUGGUGAAAGCCCAUCGCUCAACGAUGGAACGGCCAUUGAUACUGCAAGACUUGAAUUAUUAGGAAGUAACAAGAAUAUGUAGUGUAGCGGUGAAAUGCUUAGAUAUUACAUGGAAUACCAAUUGAGAAGGCAGGUUAAUACUAAUGGAUUGACGCUGAUGGACGAAAGCGUGGGGAGCGAACA